rfam:Penicillium marneffei ATCC 18224 gcontig_1105668339610, whole genome shotgun sequence.
GUUACAUGAUGAUCCCCUAGAUGACGAGUCUUAUACGAGUUUUCGAUGCAGACAACCUUUUUUUAAUUAACCAUUCAUGCUUUACUGAAU